UCUCCUUGGUCAGUUGGGGUCACCUGUCUCAGCUGUGUCUUCUCCCAGCCUCCCCUGCAUUCCCAUACACUCAUGGCAGCAGGAGAAACAGAAAAGGCCUUGGCUCUGUGAAGAAGUGCAACCAGGAGACCAGAAGACCUGGAGUACACUAACACUGCCAGCAAACCACAAAAGACCUCAAAGCAGAGCAAGAAGUCGAGGGGAUGCCUCCAGUAGUGACGGAUAUUAUUCGGAAAAGGACUUCCUCUAAGAAUUUAUCUUUAUCACUGCUAUGCCUAUUUA